GGGGAGGGAAGCGCCGCUGCCUCGCCAGCCCCGGGCCUGUGACACGGGCGGUUUCGCUGGCAGCGGGUAUAUUUAGCACUUCCCCGAGCCCUUCGUGUGCUCCUGCCGCCGUGCGAGCGCUCGGUAAUUAAUUGACGCGGCUCUCGGCGGUGGUCCCGGGGCUUGCGGUGGCCCCCCGGGGUUAAUGGUGGCCCCCCGGGGCUUGUGGUGGCUCCCCGGGGUCGUGGUGGUCCCGCGGCCCCACAGGUUUUCCUGACUGUUCUGUGGCCCUGUCGCUGCAGCCGCCAUGGAUCCGAAUGCUGUGGCUGCAAAGGCUUCUUACUUUCUCAUACUGGAUCCCUCAAAUCCAAGAGCUGCUUGGCAGUUUCCAAGGCAACCACCUGUGGAAUAAUUAAAAAGGAUGAAGCGUUAGUGUGCCAAAGAUACGGAAUUCUUGCCUGGAGAGAGCACUUCAUUUUCAUCUGUUGUGAAGAAUCAAAUGUGUCUCUGCCAGCAAAGUUAAGAAGAAGAAAUGGUGACCGAGCUGUGCAAGUGAACCAGGACAAUCCAAAAAAUUCAGAAGGCGUCUGUGAGCGGCCGGGCAGGACUAGCACAGGAGAGGUGCUUCUGGUACCUGCUGCCUCUCGCCUGGGGCUUGUGCCAGCAAGGAGCCGAGGUGCCGGCUUCACAUCACACCUGGGCUCGAUUUCGGAUGCUUCUCCUGGCAACGCAGGGGAUACGCAUUAUCUUCAUCUUACCUGGAAACCUAAGAGGAAUUUUAUGGCCCUUGAAAGCGGGAUGAGUGCUGUUUGUCUCGUGGUUUUACAGCCUGGUGUAAACAGAGCACUGCUCCAGCCUGGAAAUGCAGGUGCUGAUCUCCUGAGAAUGCUUUCCGUAUGCCAAAGGAAGAACACGAUGUUGGAGGGAAAGCCUAUUUAUAAAUGUGUACCGACUGAAAGGUCACUUUUCAUCCUCAGACAGACAAAUUAG
ensembl:lncRNA